CAGUCAUACUCGGUGGGGGAGCUGGGACUCGUCUCUUCCCACUCACUAAGCGCAGGGCCAAACCUGCCGUGCCCAUUGGAGGUGCCUACAGGUUGAUCGAUGUGCCAAUGAGUAACUGCAUAAACAGCGGGAUCAAUAAAAUAUAUAUUCUCACUCAGUUCAACUCGGCAUCACUCAAUCGACAUCUUGCACGGGCUUACAACUUCAGCAGCGGUGUUGGGUUUGGAG
rnacentral:misc_RNA from 1 species